rnacentral:tRNA from 1 species
GCGGUGGUAGUCUAGCCUGGUAGGAUGGGGGCCUGCCACGCCCCAGACCCGGGUUCAAAUCCCGGCCACCGCA